UCCGAUUUAUCACCGGCAGUCUCUCUAGAGUUCCCACCUUUACGUGCUGGCAACUAGAAACAGGGGUUGCGCUCGUUGCGGGACUUAACCCAACAUCUCACGACACGAGCUGACGACAACCAUGCACCACCUGUAUACCAGUCCCGAAGGACUAUGCUAUCUCUAGCAUAUUCUAGUAUAUGUCAAGCCCUGGUAAGGUUCUUCGCGUUGCUUCGAAUUAAACCACAUACUCCACUGCUUGUGCGGGCCCCCGUCAAUUCCUUUGAGUUUCAACCUUGCGGUCGUACUCCCCAGGUGGGAUACUUAUUGCGUUUGCGACGGCACAGAGUGUUUAAUACACCCUACACCUAGUAUCCAUCGUUUACAGUGUGGACUAC
rnacentral:misc_RNA from 1 species